rnacentral:misc_RNA from 1 species
AAACCUCAAUCCCUCCGGUUUUUGUUAACCGGUUGGACUUGGAUCUGGGUGCUGCCGCGGCUCACGCCGUCGGCUCGCCUUAAAAGUGUUAGUGGGACGGUGAACACCCGUCAGCCUGGCGUAAUAAGUUUCGCUGGGCCUCUGGGGUCGUUCGACGGCUUGCUCAUAACAACCAACUUUCUAUGA